UGACUGGUGGGGUGUGACCCCGGCCAGAUCUAAAGAGAUGCAUAUGCACUGUACUAUCCAGGACGAUAUACAGUAUGGAGAGACCAGAUCCCCUUUCAUCCGCUAUGGCCACAAACAGUUGAGUGGAUUUCCUGAAUGGUUUCAUAUGAUCGAUAUGGAGAGCUAUGGCCCUUUUCACGUCUAGCACGUGCAGCACCCUUUUUCCAGCACUAGAGUGCUGUUUCAGAUAAAAAACUGAGAGGAAGGUAUCUUGACCCAGGUGGAACUGGGAGACAACCUUUGGCAAAAAGGUCGGAUAUGGCUUGAGCUGUACCUUGUCCUUAUGGAAAACCAUAUAUGGGUGUUCUGAGGAAAAAGCUCUUAUUUCAGACACUCUCCUCGCCAAGGUGAUGGCCACCAGGAAGGCCACCUUAAUGGAAAGAUGGAGCAAUGAACACUCAGCCAUUGAUUCAAAGGAUGGUACCAUAAAUUUAUUGAGCACCAAGUUAACAUCCCAAGUGGUUACAGGUAAACAAGAAUAUGGCUACCACCUGUCUAACCCUUUCCUAAAGUGGGUUACCAUUGGAUAACUGAACAGGGAACAUUGUGAGCAUCCUUGGUUGAAAAGUGGACACAGUCGCUAAGUGAACCUCCUCCACUUGGCUAAGUAUACUGCCCUAGUGGAGAGCUUCCUGCUUCCCAACAGAACCUCCUGCACCUGGGCUGAGCACUGAAGCUCUCAUGGACUGAACCAUCUAGCUUCCAUACAAUGAGAUGGAGAAAGUGCAGGUCUGAGAUGCCCCGAUGUUGAAUUAGGAGGUCCAGGUACAGGGGAAGGGCUAUUGGUGCCUCCACUGACCGACUGAGUAGAGUGGAGAACCAAUGUUACUGUGACCAUGCUAGCGCCAACGAAUUAGAUGUGUGUUGGCCUUGCGUGCUUUUAUUAGGGCUCGAUGCCACAGCGGGACCAGAGGGAAUGCCAUGGAACCAUGACGAUGAUUCUGGAAGGAACAGAAGUCCCUUCACUCCAAGGCAAGACAACUAGAAGGUUCCAACACCAUCACAGAUGUAUCAUAAUCUGUUGCUACGGAAACAACUAUGAUGUCACAAAGAAAGGAUUAUGGAUGCCCUGAACAGGAAGAAAAGGUACACUAUGAUGAGAGAGAGAAAAGACACCUACAAACAGCUGCUGAAUAGGAGACAUUUCAGAAGCAACAAAAGUGAAAUGAGGCAGAUAUCAAUACAGACACUGGAAAACAACCAGAGAGGAGAAAGGGACGUCAUUAAAAGCAGUUCUCAAUCAAACGACCUGUUCUUUGCAACCCAACAGACACUCCUACAUUAUCAAACUGCUGGAGAGAUCUUAAAAAUAUAGGGCUAAAUGCUGUGAUUCACAACUCA